UACGUAGGGGGCAAGCGUUGUCCGGAAUCAUUGGGCGUAAAGCGCGCGUAGGCGGCCCGAUCAGUCCGCUGUAAAAGUCCAGGGCUCAACCCUGGAAAGCCGGUGGAUACUGUCGGGCUAGAGUCCGGAAGAGGCGAGUGGAAUUCCUGGUGUAGCGGUGAAAUGCGCAGAUAUCAGGAAGAACACCUAUGGCGAAGGCAGCUCUCUGGGACGGUACUGACGCUGAGACGCGAAAGCGUGGGGAGCGAACAGG
rnacentral:rRNA from 1 species